rnacentral:rRNA from 1 species
UACGGGAGGCAGCAGUGGGGAAUAUUGGACAAUGGGCGAAAGCCUGAUCCAGCCAUGCCGCAUGAGUGAAGAAGGCCUUCGGGUUGUAAAGCUCUUUUAGUGAGAAAGAUAAUGACGGUACUCACAGAAGAAGUCCUGGCUAACUCCGUGCCAGCAGCCGCGGUAAUACGGAGAGGGCUAGCGUUAUUCGGAAUUAUUGGGCGUAAAGAGCGCGUAGGCUGAUUAGUAAGUUAAAACGUGAAAUCCCAAAGCUUAACUUUGGAAUUGCUUUUUAAAACUGCUAGUCUAGAGAUUGAAAGAGGAUAGAGGAAUUCCUAGUGUAGAGGUGAAAUUCGUAAAUAUUAGGAGGAACACCAGUGGCGAAGGCGUCUAUCUGGUUCAAAUCUGACGCUGAGGCGCGAAGGCUGGGGAGCAAACGAGGGAUUACGGAUACCCGU